GCGGCCCCACCUCCCCUCAGCAAUGGCCGCCCCGGGGCUCCGCUGAUAAAACCGCGGGGUCAGUCAGGCUGCAAAAGUUCUCUGUGAUCGGCGAGUCCAACCUGUGACCCAACACCACCGCGUCGACCAGACCCAGCACGACCAGCACCUCCAGGGACGGUGAUUUCACCACCUGCUUGGGCAGCCCACUCUGAUGUGCGAUCGCCCUUUCUGUGAGCAAAUUCUUCCUACUCUGCACUUUUGCGGCCUCACCUUGGUGAGUCUGUGCAGUUUUGGUCACUGCAACGUAGGAAAGAAAUUAAGCUGCAAGAGAGUGUCCAGAGGAGGGACAUGGAGUCGGUGAGGGACCUCGAGCCUCUUGUAGGUCUCUUUGUUUCAGAAGAGUUGGUGGUGGCAGCUGCUGGACAGAACAGCAAGAUCAAAAGAUAACACAGCCACCUGAGAGGAGAAACUGAGGCUCCAGCCCUGAUAUGCUGCGUGUUUAUGCAUUUUAUGUUGUAAACUCAUUGGAAAAAAACAGAUCUUCAUGGGAGCAGGGGCAGGAGCUGGCAUGGUGUUUCCUCUUCCUCAAGUGCAGAUUCUAAUCAAACAGGCUAAAGCUAUUUCACAGUAAGUAACUGCACACCAUCAUUCUGUGCAAUGUAGGGCAAGAUCCACCAGAGGAACAGUGCACGUCUCUGAGAGCAGCUUUUGGCACAGGGAGCAGAAGAUGCAGAGGUGAAGGAAUGGGAGAAGGAAUUCCUUCUCAUGGGAGAAGGAAUAUUCAAUCCCAGUCACCUACUGAAAGAUAAAUACUCUAGGUCCUGAACUAUGACUCAAAGGCAGGGCUGCUCCUCUUCCAGCAUUUUGUGUGACGAGUGGUGCCCUCUGUUGUUCCAGGGAGAAGCUGCUGGGAGUUAGAGAAUUGAAAUCACGAGGGUGAGGUGGGUUUGUUUACUCCAGUGUCACAGACUCUUUCAGAUGCUCUGGUUUGGACAAAGGGUCUGUCAUGCAGAAUGCACUGCCAUCAGGACUUCAUUUUCCAGAGUAAAGUCAGAAAUGAAAUGUGUAGAGACAAAUGGACCAACAUGACUAGAAAAAAAAAUGCUUAAACAUUAGAAAAGUGUGUAGAAUAAACAAGAAUUCCUUAAUAGCUGCUACAAAGGUAAUUGAAGGUAUGGGAAUAUAUGUGGACAAGGGUCUGAGUUAAGGCUGUGUUCCCUUCAACAUCUGUUCCCUGAGAGAGAAGGAGCUACCUUUGCUUAUCAAGCUGCCAUCACCAGAUAAUGCUCCUUGGCACUCCUAGUCCAUCUGCAAAGGAAAAUGUGUUUGUGUGAACCUGGGCUGCACGAGCUCCUUGGCACAGCAGAGAGGUUGUGUUUGGAGUGCAGUUUGCUCUGCAGAGUACGGAAACAAGAACAUAAAGAUACAUCCAGGUCUGCAAAAUGUGAAGUAGCUUUGAAAAAUGCCCAACUGGUCACGGGGCUAAUUCUGGUGUUGUAAAUGACAAGGUAAGUACAGUUAUUUAAGGUGACCUUUGAGAGCAAUCUGUGUGCCAUACCCCAGGAGCCAGCCGUGGGAAGCACGCUCCCAUCAGUGUCCUGCCAGGCCCAGAAGGCAUUUCCAGGACUCCAGCUGUUUGCUAUGAUUGCUGAACAUGCAGAGUCUGCAAUACCUGCUUUUAAAAAUGCACAGGAAUGUCACAGGCUUGCUUGAGUUUAGUAACCCUAGGGCAGUGCAUUCCAAGGAGUAGAGGGCAAUUCAGCUGCCUGGCAGAGCCAGUGGGAAGGUACUGCAUGACCUUUAGGAACAAAGCUGCUUGAGCUGGGUCAGCACGGUGGUAGUUUAGGGCUAACCUAGCACUUUCCCUAGUGUGUACAGUCACUUCAUAGAGCAGGAUGACAGAAUGGCCUGGAAUAGAAAGGACCCAAAAAGAAGAGUGUUGAGUAAAAGUUGAAAUGAGCUUUUAUUCCUUUACUUGCUUUUCCUUUUUACCCCUUUAGAAGAAGAAAUCUACUUAAAGCUGAACAAGAAUUCACCUUCAGAAACCCCCAGCUUCCCUCAGCACACCUGCAUCUUGCUCUCACUGCAAGAGAUCCCUGUAGCCUUUCCACAGCCAUGGAUUCAGCUCCAAAAAGAUUCUAGAAAUCAAACUUCAAAUUGCACGGGGGGGAAGCUCCAGGGCUGCCUGUGUGGCAGCAAGGAAGGAGGCACACACAGAGGCACCAGAUGUGGCAUGAGGACACCGGCAGAACCUGAGUUUCUCAGACAAGAGUGCCUGGGCUUUAUCUGAUUGAGAUGACACUUACAGUAAAGGAGCCUUGGCCGUGCCUUCGGGCCCGGUGUUCUCUGAGAGCAGCUCUGUAGUGAGACAUGCGUGACAUGAACGGUGCAAUCCCAGCAAACCAUGAACUGUAAAGACCCAAAGUUUCAGAGGGCAAUUUAUUGUAUGGGAGCAUAUCCAAUACUUUUUGUCAAUCAUUCAUGAGAAUAAUAAAAAAUAGCUUUUUAAAUGACAAAAAAUAUAGUUACAUAUAAUACAGAUUUUCAUCUUGCAUUGAAGCAGAGCAGUAAUAAAAUGCUCACUCGUGUUUUCACAGUUCGUUUUGCUUCUCUAGGUUAAAGCAUCAGCAACUCAAGUGUUCCAGUCAGAACCCCCUAGUUAGCAGUUUCACAGGAUGAUGGUGAGGGUGAACACUCUCAGCAUUCUGACCACUUCACAAGUACAGCAGGCACAUUUGAUCCAUUUCAGAACUGCUAAAAUUUUCAGAGGUACCAGCUACACUUGAGGCAUCCUUGCUGCAACUGAAAGGGUUUUGUAUCAGAACACCUUUUUUAGGCCCCAGUCAGACACACAUCUCUGGAACACUCAAGAAUGUCCUUAAAUCCAGUCUGGUUCAAAGAGCUCCAAGCUGAUCCUUUGUGACCCCCUUGUUGUGCCCUCACACGUACCACACAUGGGCACAAAGCUCUAACCAGUACUUGGUCACAUGUGUAAAGUGCUUGCAAGACCACAAAGGAUUUAACAUUCUUCAGCACUCCACUUAGAGACCUAAAGGCAUUCACUGCAUGCAUACAUUGGUAUUUACUACACACACACCCAGCCCCCAGUAUUAUUGCAAUAAUUCUUUGCUGGUAUAACAGCUCAUACACCAGGUUUCGCUUAUUUCGUUUUCUACAAACAUAGAAAAAAAACACCUGAAGAGAGCUAGAACAGCUUUCAAUCAGUCACUAUAUUGGCAUUGAAAGCUUUAUUUUGAAAACUUUAAGCAGCAAUACUGAAUAAAUAGACAGAAUGAUUGUUUUGUCAUCUCCAUACAACUGAUGGCCUUCAUCCAAAACAUUAAAAUACUGUAGCAAAUAGAAUAAACAUGCACAUUUCAAUGUUCUAAAAAAACCCACAACCAACCAAAACAAUCAAACAAACAAACAAAAAACAAAAAAAAGAGGUGUAAUAUAAAAGUAACAUUUUGACACUUUUUUUUUUUUUUAUACAGUACAGACCAUUAGAGACUAUUUUCUGGAAAAUAUAUCUGAAUACAAUUUUGUUAUUUACAUGUAUCAUUAAGGCCCAAUUCACUCAAGUUAAUGCACAUCAGGAAUUUAUAUGCUUCAAGGUAACUCACUAGAAAUUAUAAGAUCGAUGUUUCUUUGAUCAUACUCAUAUGAUCCCAGUUCACUGAAAUAAUGCAAUACUGUUCACGCUAAAAACAAGGCAAUUGCUGCCCCAAGAGGAGAUGUUUUUUUCACUAAAGGAUCUUUUUCCCUCUUACUUCAUUAUGUUUGCAUAUUGCUAAUGCUAGUGGUGGUAGUUCUCUUC